UUUGUGACUCACACAGACUCCAGACGCAAGUCCUUCCAGGUGAGACAAAUCCCGCAAAGCAAGUCGGUCAAAGGGGCGGAGUCUGUGACCAUCCAGUGUUCCGUCCUCGCCGAGAGCAAAGAAUAUUUUCGCCAAAGUCCGAACCAAAGCAGCGUCUACUGGUUGAAGUCCGGAUCGGGAGAGUCUGAUCCACACAUCAUUUACUCCGACAGUGACGAUGAACAAGACCCAAGAAGCUGCGUCUACCAUCUCUCUCUGACCGUACUCAACUCCUCCGACACCGGAACAUACUACUGCGCCGUAGCCACGUGUGGACAGAUCCUGUUCGGACAAGGAACUCAUGUGGACACACAACAAGACCUGCAAUCAGCUGCCGUUUUGCUGGCUGCUCUGCUGGCCUCCUUCGCUGUUGUGGUCACUAUUGUAGUUGCUUAACUUGUAUUUUAUUUUUACUAACAGUAAUAUUUUUUUAAUAUCAUUUCAUACACAUCAUUUUGUUUGGUUUUGCCCCAAGAUGGCGCUUCUGUAGUGGCUGCUGAUGGCAGGAGCUCAUCCUUUUGUGUUCCUGAUGUUUCCCUUUUGUUUUUCAUGGGUUUGGUUUCUGCCUUUUUGGUUCGGGACCCUUUGGGACUUUCGUGACUUCUGCGGUGCUUUUUUGGGAACUACUGGAUCCGCCUCCCGAGGAGCCUUUUGGCCAUGGAGACCAGCUGCUGGGUCUCUGCCACACCAUAGUCCGUUUGGAGAGACUGGAGGAGAUGUGGAUGAAGAGUCAGGGCUACGGAGCUGGCGCUAAACGCCGGGCUGAAUGAACAGGUAUCGGACACAUUGGGACUGUGUGACAAGGGGUGGCACUUUCGUGACCUCUGCGGUGCUUUUUCUGUGGACUUCUGGAUCUGCCUCCCGGGAGCCUUUUUGGCCAAGGAGACCAGCUGCUGGGUCUCUGCCACACUGGAGUCCGUUUGGAGGGACUUGAGGAGAUGCGGAUGAGGGGACAGGGCCGCGGAGCUAGCACUGAGCGCCGGGACGGAGAGGCUUCACAGUGUCUUGGCUGGGUGAGCAGGUGUCGGACACCGCAGUCUCCUUGGACGUAUCCUCGCUCAUCCAUGCGGACUGGACACUGGCCGAGAGUGGAGUCGGCUCUCUUGGUUGCUUUGUUGGGUCUGCUCCUGUCUCUGGCCAUCCUCCCUCCACCCCAGCGGACGAUGGCGUGGAACACCGCAGAGGCCACCACAGUGUAUAUGUUUCUUUUACUUUUUAUUCAUAGCUGUAUGUAGAAGUGUCUGGUUGUAUCCGCUGCUUGAAUGUCUUUCAUGUCCUUUGUGUUCUUUGAUGUUUGAUGUUUCCCUCUUACACACAUGUAAGAGGGAUGUGUACUAUGGCUAUGAUUUUUUUUUUCCUCUUGGCCUCAGUCUGGACCCUCUCUCCAGGGACCCAGUCUUAGACCGAUUGUU